GCCACGUCAGAUCUAUCCAGAACAAAUGAGCCCCUCAACAGUUAGAUAGUGCAACUUACAUCGACCAGCUCCACCCACUCGCCUUCUUAUCUUAAAGAAAUUCUUGUAUCUACACCGGUGAGACUCUAAUUAAAGAAAUGGACGAGGAUUCGGGCUCUAGAAACAGAUCAUUUGACUCUAAUCAG